rnacentral:lncRNA from 1 species
CACAAGUAAUAUGAUUCAUUUUAGAUCAUAUACAUUGCAUCCAUCUCUUACAUUUAGGAUUCUUUGCAUUUCAUUACAUAAUUCCAUCAUUUCUUUCUUACAUCACAUUUUCCUCAAAAUAAGCUUUACAUUCUUUUCUUUACAUUACUAAUCAUUAAGUACAAAAGAUGAACAUGGGGUAGCUACUAACAAAAUGUAACCCAACCUUGGUGGCCUCUGACUAAGGCGCGAUACCUUUAUCUCGGUCGCUCGCCGGCUCGCUCGGUCCCGGCUCUGUGGAAAUAGUGGGGUGAGAACUACAACAAAGUUCCCAGU